UUUUUCUGUUCUUUGCUGUAGGUAGAUUCUUAAAGUUUUAAAUAUCAAUAACGUACAUCAUUAUGCCUAUGUAAAAAUUGUUCAUUGCAGAGCUAGUAUGUGUCAUGCUGAUGUUUCUUCCCUUUAAAGCUUUUGUUGUCUGAAAUAUCUAACUGCCUUUCUUCUUUCUAGCAUUUCCUCCAUUUAUCAUAUUCUUAAAUUCAUCCAGCGUCUCGAUGGCACUAUAUGGUCUAUGAAUCCUCUUUUUCUCCAAGAAAGCUCCCUCUUGGAGUUGUCCGUCUUCCUGCUGCAGUCUGGCCUGGCUGUUCUCUAGAGCCCCUGCAUUCUGUCGCUCUGGGGCUCAUACUGUUCAACUGAGUAGGAGCCAUUGUUUUCUGGGUCCCUUUCUUUGUUUACUGUCACAUUUGGCCAGAACAUGAGUAACUUCCUAAGAAGUAGUGAAUAGUGCAUAAGCAAUAAAAGUUCUGCAUCUUGGCAUAUUUAAUAAUAUAUUUAUUGGCUCUUCACACUUGAUUGAUAACUUGGCUUGCAGAACAUUCCAAGUUCUAAAUCACUUACUCUCAGCACAUUAAAGGUAUUGAUCCAUUUGAUUCCAACAUCUAGUAUAGCUUAAUGCCCAUUUUAUUCUCCUGUGAAAUGAGUUUGUUACCAAUUGAACUCUCUCCCCAGCUGGGGAGAGACCUGAGGAAGAGGCUCUUGCCCUUCCUCUUGGGGGUUCUUUCUCUGUUUGGUGUGGUAACUUUGAAACGAGACCGAAGCUGAGCAUUCAAUACCGCAAGGUUUAUUCAAUGGCCAAAGAAUGGAUAGGCAGGAACUAAGCUCACAAAUCAACUUUCAGCUCUUGAGGCAGCUGAGCAGCUGUUAUAAGGGGUCAAGGUAAUGAAGGGGAGGAAUAUUCAUAGUUAUUUGGGGAACUGGUCAGGCUUUUCAGGGGAACAAAGGUGGCACCUCUUUUCUUUCCUUAUUUGGUUAUGUCCUACCAUUGCCACAGCAGUCGUAAACUGUCAUGGUGCCAGUGCGUGUGUUAUGUAGCAUGGUAACGUAUCACAGUGAGCGUGUAAUGAGCCGUGGGGUCUAUGUCAAUUCAAGUCAGACUGCCAUGUUGCCGUCCACUGGUUUUAACUGGUUUCAACUAUAUGUCUCAACCAUCUCCUCUCCCCUUUCCUCUCUUUGUGGUUUCCCAUAAGCUAAAGGCAACAUUUUAGGCUCGUUCUGAGCAGGGCUAUGAUUAAUGUCUUAUGGAGCUAGGGGUCAGGGUAAUAAGUUGACAACAGUGCCUCUAUUUUGCACCCUGGACUCCAUCUUAUUAAAAAAAUAUGAAACUGUACUGACCUUGCUGACUUGUCAAAAGGGAGUUAUUUGCUGAGAAAGGACUUUCUGAAGGACUGUGCAAAAAUAUACAUUUUCCAGUAGCAACAAGAUAUCCUUAAGUGAGCUAAUGAACUGUAACAUAAUGUUAUGGCACAAAAUUGCAGUUCUCUUGCCUGAUGUACGUUAAGAGUCAAUUAUUACAGCAUUAGUUUUUGAGAAAAGAAAAGGCUUUAUUGUGAGAUGGAUCUGCAAGGAGACGGGAGGCAUAAGCUCUCAGAUCUGUCUCCCCAGGUCAGGGUUUGGGGAACAAUUUAAGAAGUUGGGGAGAACAGGGUGGUAUGUAGAAUGCUGACAGGGCAGCUUUCAGUGGAGGCCUUCAAACAUUCACGGUAAGGUGUGGAAGGGGCUUCCUAGACAAUGAACCUCUCGCUUCUAAUAAGAGUCUGACUUUCAAGUUCCAGUCAUGGCCCAGUCCUUUGGUUCCAUGGAGGGGAGAAUCUUUGGUUCUGGGGUCAUUUCAGGUCAAGAUUUUCUCCUCUGUGCAUGCUCUAGCUACAAGACUUGCAAAUUUUUGGCUUGCCCCUGAAAAACCUUCGGUUGAUAAGAUGGGGUCAUUCGAACUGGUCCUAGGGGGCCUGUGGUUACAAUAACUUUACCUUCCCUAACAAACAACUAGGGUAGCUUUUCUGGGCUCUCCCUUUUGCUAAUAAAAACUCCUGACUUUUGCUCCUGAGGGGGAAACUUCUGGCUGCUGCUGGAACUGUAUUCCCCAAAUUGCAAUUCUAAGACCCCAAAUAAACACCCCUCCUUUUGUUUGCAGUUGCCUCUUUUUUCUAAGUUGACAUAUUUGGCAUCAGGGACAUAAGAUUCAAAGCAACUUUCUGCCUGUUUCUGGUGCCACCGUUGGUUUUAAGCAAGGCAUCUGUGUGAGCCUCUUGUGCUCUGUUGUCUCCCCAGUGGCCCAGGGCCCAGGUGGUGAGGCAUCUUGGUUCCAAACUUCCCACCUUGGGUGAGGUUCCAGCUUUUAUUCUGGGUGUCUUUUGAAACCAGUUUAAGGGAAUUUCCUUCCUCUUUGGAUGAGUACCUACUUGUAGUGGGAAGUGCCUGGUCUAGGGCUGCUGCAGGAAUUCAGCCCCCAUUUGGGGCUCCUGCUGGAAUGAUGUUUAAAAAUUAUGGGCCCUCUGCAUAUAGAUUUUUAGAUAAAUGGCACUGGUAUACCAAGGAUGAUUUAAAACUUGCUUCGCCCCAGUGGGGCUCAUUUGAAAUACCUAAAUUAGUUUAUUUGCAUGCAUGGUUAGAAAACAAGAGUUCUAAAACUAAGCAAGUGAAAGGAGUGAACUUUUGGAUACUUUGGAAUUGUAAUGGCCAUUCUGAGGAAACUUUGUUUCAGGUAAGUCCACCUUAAGGGGCAUCCUUAAAAGAGAGGAUUCCAAACCUCCCAGAGACAAUGGAAUGCAUUCUUUGAUUGGUAUACAGAAGCUUCUGAAAGACAAAAUGACUUCAGAAACAGCUCUAAAAAGGGUACUUACAGCAUGCAAAUAAGUGAAAAAAAAUCUUUGACAGGUUUUGUGCCACAAUGAAACGUUUACUGCAAAGAGAAAUAUGCUUCUAGAAAUUAUAGAAUGUGUUUUAUAGGUUUGCUAAUCUACUAUAGGAUGCUGAUAGAUGAUAGACAGUUCACGAUUGCCUGUUUCCUAGUUUUCAUUGGAAAGCAAAGAUUACAAAUAGUUUAAAAAGUUGAAAGAAGACCUGAGAAUACAAAAUGAACCAAGAGAAAAUGUCGGAAUACUUAAAGCAAUAAACGUAAAUUACCUCUAUCCAAACUGUGUGCUUGAUGCUGAGAACACAGGCAAAGCAGCAGGUGCCCCUGUGAAAAAUGAGACGCAACGGAGCUCUCAUGAGAGCUUUCUCCUGUGGAAGGAUUUACUGUAACUUCUUACUUCUCAAACUAUGGCUACAGACUAUUGAUAAAUCAAAAUUAACAUUUCUUUAAAUAGAAAAUGAUUCCCAAAGCACCUGGCCCCAGCUUCCUUUGAUUUGCAGCUGAUAAAAGAGGACGUACUUCGGUUUUGCAAAGGCCUAAUCAAAUCCACAGAGAAUGAUUGUACUCUGGUAGAACAAUCUUUCCACAGCGCGCAUUCCAGAGACAAAAACGCCGGACAUCAUAAUAUGCAGCCCAGAGCUUUCGUCUGCUGAAAAGACACCUUUAGAAAGACUCCCUCCACUCUCACCGGAAGAUUCACGUGUUACAUCUAAAGAAAGCGCCAAACCCUGACUAGACCUGCACACCAACUGGCGACCUGAAAGUAGGAUUUCCAGGAAGUGAAGCAGGCGAUAGCGGAGCAGACAGCUUUCCCAAGAUUCUGGACCAGCCCUAAAAAUCACGAGCAAAAGGAGAAAAUGUGAAACAAGUUACAACAGUGCCUCUAUUUUGUACGCUGAACUCCAUCUUGUUAAAAAAAUAAGAAACUGUGCUGACCUUGCUGACUUGCUAAAAGGGACUUAUUUGCUGAGAAAGGACUUUCUGAAGGACUGUGCAAAAAAUAUGCUUUUUCUGGUAGCAACAAGAUGUCUCUGAGUAAGCCAACGAACUGUAACACAAAUUUAUCCUCUAAGUCUAAUAAACAACUGAGGUAAUUAUUCUAGGAUCUCCUUUUUGCUAACAAAAACUCCUGACCUUUACUUCUCUGGGGGGCACUUUUCCAGUUGUCACUAUAAACUGUGUUCCCUGGGUUGCGAUUCUAAGAACCCAAAUAAAUGCUCUCCUUUUCUUUGCAAUUGCCUCUUUCUUCUAAGUUGACACUCCCUUUAAUAUGAGUCCUG
rnacentral:lncRNA from 1 species